rnacentral:rRNA from 1 species
AGAGUUUGAUCAUGGCUCAGGACGAACGCUGGCGGCGCGCUUAACACAUGCAAGUCGAACGGGGCUCGGCCUUCGGGCCGGGUUCAGUGGCGAACGGGUGCGUAACACGUGAGCAACCUGCCCCUGUAUGGGGGAUAACCCUGGGAAACCGGGGCUAAUACCGCAUGCGCUCCCUGGGCUGAUGGCCUGGGGAGGAAAGCUCCUGCAAGGGAGUGUACAGGGAGGGGCUCGCGGCGUAUCAGCUAGUUGGCGGGGUAACGGCCCACCAAGGCAGCGACGCGUAGCCGGUCUGAGAGGACGACCGGCCACAUUGGGACUGAGAUACGGCCCAGACUCCUACGGGAGGCAGCAGUGGGGAAUCUUGCGCAAUGGGCGAAAGCCUGACGCAGCGACGCCGCGUGGGGGAGGAAGCUUUUCGGAGUGUAAACCCCUGUCAGGAGGGAAGAACGGCCCGGGGAGGAAAUGCCCUGGGUUUGACGGUACCUCCAGAGGAAGCACCGGCUAACUCUGUGCCAGCAGCCGCGGUAAUACAGAGGGUGCGAGCGUUGUUCGGAAUUACUGGGCGUAAAGCGCGCGUAGGCGGUCAUUUAAGUCUGCCCGUGAAAUGCCGGGGCUCAACCCCGCGCACGUCGGGGGAUACUGGGUGACUGGGAGACAGGUAGAGGCGAGUGGAAUUCCGGGUGUAGCGGUGGAAUGCGUAGAGAUCCGGAAGAACACCAGAGGCGAAGGCGGCUCGCUGGGCCUGGUCUGACGCUGAGGCGCGAAAGCGUGGGGAGCGAACAGGAUUAGAUACCCUAGUAGUCC